rnacentral:rRNA from 1 species
AACGAACGCUGGCGGCGUGGAUAAGGCAUGCAAGUCGAGCGAGAAAGCUCCUUCGGGAGUGAGUACAGCGGCAAACGGGUGAGUAACACGUGAGUAACCUGUCUUUCGGUGGGGGACAACCCCGGGAAACCGGGGCUAAUACCGCAUGACGUUGCUUUGGCAUAAGCCAGAGUAACCAAAGGAGGGGACCUUCGGGCCUUCCGCCGAAUGAGGGGCUCGCGCCUGAUUAGCUAGUUGGUGGGGUAACGGCUCACCAAGGCAGUGAUCAGUAGCCGGUCUGAGAGGAUGGCUGGCCACACUGGGAUUGAGAUACGGCCCAGACUCCUACGGGAGGCAGCAGUCUAGAAGCUUCGGCAAUGGGGGCAACCCUGACCGAGCGACGCCGCGUGCGGGACGAAGGCCUUCGGGUUGUAAACCGCUUUCGACAGGGACGAAGGAAGGAGACUAUAACACAUUCUCCAACUUGACGGUACCUGCAGAAGAAGCCCUGGCUAACUCCGUG